rnacentral:rRNA from 1 species
GAUGAACGCUGGCGGCGUGCCUAAUACAUGCAAGUCGAGCGAACGGACAAGGAGCUUGCUCCUUUGAAGUUAGCGGCGGACGGGUGAGUAACACGUGGGUAACCUACCUAUAAGACUGGAAUAACUCCGGGAAACCGGGGCUAAUGCCGGAUAACAUGUUGAACCGCAUGGUUCAACAGUGAAAGACGGUCUUGCUGUCACUUAUAGAUGGACCCGCGCCGUAUUAGCUAGUUGGUGGGGUAACGGCCUACCAAGGCGACGAUACGUAGCCGACCUGAGAGGGUGAUCGGCCACACUGGAACUGAGACACGGUCCAGACUCCUACGGGAGGCAGCAGUAGGGAAUCUUCCGCAAUGGGCGAAAGCCUGACGGAGCAACGCCGCGUGAGUGAUGAAGGUCUUCGGAUCGUAAAGCUCUGUUGUUAGGGAAGAACAAAUGUGUAAGUAACUGUGCACGUCUUGACGGUACCUAACCAGAAAGCCACGGCUAACUACGUGCCAGCAGCCGCGGUAAUACGUAGGUGGCAAGCGUUAUCCGGAAUUAUUGGGCGUAAAGCGCGCGUAGGCGGUUUUUUAGUCUGAUGUGAAAGCCCACGGCUCAACCGUGGAGGGUCAUUGGAAACUGGAAAACUUGAGUGCAGAAGAGGAAAGUGGAAUUCCAUGUGUAGCGGUGAAAUGCGCAGAGAUAUGGAGGAACACCAGUGGCGAAGGCGGCUUUCUGGUCUGCAACUGACGCUGAUGUGCGAAAGCGUGGGGAUCAAACAGGAUUAGAUACCCUGGUAGUCCACGCCGUAAACGAUGAGUGCUAAGUGUUAGGGGGUUUCCGCCCCUUAGUGCUGCAGCUAACGCAUUAAGCACUCCGCCUGGGGAGUACGGUCGCAAGACUGAAACUCAAAGGAAUUGACGGGGACCCGCACAAGCGGUGGAGCAUGUGGUUUAAUUCGAAGCAACGCGAAGAACCUUACCAAAUCUUGACAUCCUUUGACCGCUCUAGAGAUAGAGUUUUCCUCUUCGGAGGACAAAGUGACAGGUGGUGCAUGGUUGUCGUCAGCUCGUGUCGUGAGAUGUUGGGUUAAGUCCCGCAACGAGCGCAACCCUUGAGCUUAGUUGCCAUCAUUAAGUUGGGCACUCUAAGUUGACUGCCGGUGACAAACCGGAGGAAGGUGGGGAUGACGUCAAAUCAUCAUGCCCCUUAUGAUUUGGGCUACACACGUGCUACAAUGGACAAUACAAAGGGCAGCGAAACCGCGAGGUCAAGCAAAUCCCAUAAAGUUGUUCUCAGUUCGGAUUGUAGUCUGCAACUCGACUACAUGAAGCUGGAAUCGCUAGUAAUCGUAGAUCAGCAUGCUACGGUGAAUACGUUCCCGGGUCU